CCUUCUCCUAUGACAUUCCAUGAAGGGAGUUGUGGGCAGAGUCAGGUUGUACUGGGGUUGCAGAAACAGAGGAAUCUUUAUAGGAUCAUCUCUAUGUUUAGGCAUCAAUCCACCGUAGAAAGAACCAUCCAGUAGCCUGGGCAACAUAGCAAAACCCCAUCUCUGCAAAAAAUAAAGAAAAAAAUUAGCCGAGCAUAAUUGGUGUGUGCCUGUAGUCCCAGCUACUUGGGAGGCUGAGGUGGGAGGAUCGCUUGAGCCCAAGAGGGAGAGGUUGCAGAAGGCUGAGAUCUCACCACUGCACUCCAGUCUGGGCAACAGAGCAAGAAAGACCCUGUGAAAGAGAGAGAGAGAAAGAAAGAAGAGAGAGAGAGAAAGGGAGAAAGAGAGAAAGGGAGAAAGAG
rnacentral:lncRNA from 1 species